GUGCGCAACAGUAUCCUCCUUGGACAAGUGUGUUAAUUGUGUGGGACCCGUAUCUUCCUUCAAGUGGCUUGGCUAUCGAUGCACAGUUUGUUCAGGGGUCUGGCAUAAAUCCUGCCUCAAGCAAAUUACAGGAGAUUACUUGCACAGCACAGGCACAGCAGUCUUCUGAGGCUUCUGAGGAUGAACGGAUGUCAGAUCAGGACAAAAUUCCACAUCCACAAUUGGACGAAAUAUCAUCUGAUGAUGCUGAGGACAUGUCUGACAAGGAAUACAUACCUGACUCUGAGGAUGAUGAAUAUGAUUCAGAUGCCAGCAUACACUUAAUGUCAAGUAAGGCAAGAGCUGCACAUAUUCAAGUAAAAACAGUAAUACCUGAUGUUGGAACAUGCCCAGUACAUCACAA